rnacentral:rRNA from 1 species
UACGGGGGGGGCAAGCGUUGUUCGGAAUUACUGGGCGUAAAGGGCUCGUAGGUGGCCAACUAAGUCAGACGUGAAAUCCCUCGGCUUAACCGGGGAACUGCGUCUGAUACUGGAUGGCUUGAGUUCGGGAGAGGGAUGCGGAAUUCCAGGUGUAGCGGUGAAAUGCGUAGAUAUCUGGAGGAACACCGGUGGCGAAGGCGGGUCUCUGGGCAUUAACUGACGCUGAGGAGCGAAAGCAUGGGGAGCAAACAGG